UUAUCUUCUCUUGGUUGACAGGGACCUUUUACAAAGGAAAACCACCCAGAGCAGAGUGUGACAGAGUGACAGCAGCCAUUUUUUGGUGUUUCCAAAAGUGGGUUUGGGGAGAGUGGAGCUCAGUGCAUCUCCUGUGUUUCUGUUUCUGGUCAGCACUAUUUAUAAGUGAUCACCACUGAAUCGUUCAGCCUCUGGCAACGCCGGCAUCCGACCGGCGGUGGGUAAACAGCAGCUCCCGUCAUACAAUGUGAGUAACAAACUUCCAUUUA
rnacentral:lncRNA from 1 species